UAGGGAAUCUUCCACAAUGGACGCAAGUCUGAUGGAGCAACGCCGCGUGAGUGAAGAAGGUUUUCGGAUCGUAAAGCUCUGUUGUUGGUGAAGAAGGAUAGAGGUAGUAACUGGCCUUUAUUUGACGGUAAUCAACCAGAAAGUCACGGCUAACUACGUGCCAGCAGCCGCGGUAAUACGUAGGUGGCAAGCGUUGUCCGGAUUUAUUGGGCGUAAAGCGAGCGCAGGCGGAAGAAUAAGUCUGAUGUGAAAGCCCUCGGCUUAACCGAGGAACUGCAUCGGAAACUGUUUUUCUUGAGUGCAGAAGAGGAGAGUGGAACUCCAUGUGUAGCGGUGGAAUGCGUAGAUAUAUGGAAGAACACCAGUGGCGAAGGCGGCUCUCUGGUCUGCAACUGACGCUGAGGCUCGAAAGCAUGGGUAGCGAACAGGAUUAGAUACCCUGGUA
rnacentral:rRNA from 1 species